UGGGGAAUAUUGGACAAUGGGCGCAAGCCUGAUCCAGCCAUACCGCGUGGGUGAAGAAGGCCUUCGGGUUGUAAAGCCCUUUUGUUGGGAAAGAAAUCCAGCUGGUUAAUACCCGGUUGGGAUGACGGUACCCAAAGAAUAAGCACCGGCUAACUUCGUGCCAGCAGCCGCGGUAAUACGAAGGGUGCAAGCGUUACUCGGAAUUACUGGGCGUAAAGCGUGCGUAGGUGGUCGUUUAAGUCUGUUGUGAAAGCCCUGGGCUCAACCUGGGAACUGCAGUGGAAACUGGACGACUAGAGUGUGGUAGAGGGUAGCGGAAUUCCUGGUGUAGCAGUGAAAUGCGUAGAGAUCAGGAGGAACAUCCAUGGCGAAGGCAGCUACCUGGACCAACACUGACACUGAGGCACGAAAGCGUGGGGAGCAAACAGGAUUAGAUACCCUGGUAGUCCACGCCCUAAACGAUGCGAACUGGACGUUGGGUGCAAUUUUGGCACGCAGUAUCGAAGCUAACGCGUUAAGUUCGCCGCCUGGGGAGUACGGUCGCAAGACUGAAACUUAAAU
rnacentral:rRNA from 1 species